UGGGGAAUAUUGCACAAUGGGCGGAAGCCUGAUGCAGCGACGCCGCGUGGGGGAUGAAGGCCUUCGGGUUGUAAACUCCUUUCGACAGGGACGAAUCUUUUGUGACGGUACCUGUAUAAGAAGCACCGGCUCACUACGUGCCAGCAGCCGCGGUAAUACGUAGGGUGCGAGCGUUGUCCGGAAUUACUGGGCGUAAAGAGCUCGUAGGUGGUUUGUCGCGUCGUCUGUGAAAUUCCGGGGCUUAACUCCGGGCGUGCAGGCGAUACGGGCUGACUUGAGUGCUGUAGGGGAGACUGGAAUUCCUGGUGUAGCGGUGAAAUGCGCAGAUAUCAGGAGGAACACCGAUGGCGAAGGCAGGUCUCUGGGCAGUAACUGACGCUGAGGAGCGAAAGCAUGGGUAGCGAACAGG
rnacentral:rRNA from 1 species